rnacentral:tRNA from 1 species
GGGAUUGUGGCUUAGUGGUAGAGCACUCACCUAGCACAUGUGAGGCCCUGGGUUUGAUCCUCAGCACCA